GCUGGGUGUGGUGGUGCGCACCUGUAAUUCAAGUUACUCUGGAUGCUGAGGUUGGAAGAUCACAAGUUUGAGGCCAGCCUCAG
rnacentral:sRNA from 1 species